UUAAUAUUUUAAAUAUAUAUAUAUCAUUUCUUCUACAGGUCACAUACACAAAAUGAGUGUUUCUAGAGACUCUUUUUAAAUCCUAUCACUGAUUGUGUUUCAGAGCUAAAUGCAGAUGUUGCAUUAGCAGAGCUCAGAAAACAUUCCCUCUUUUUGACUGUGUUAUUUGGGAAUGUUCUGCAGGAUUUCGGAGCUGGCGCAGCACAAAACCUCCAAAACCGUCUGGGCCACGACUCCUUGUGAGAAGCUGGUCUGGGGGAACCAGGAACCAAUAUGGCCCAUAUCCCCAGCAGCACUCAGAGCCGUUCCCAGUGCGAGAAUUCAAUACCUGGCCAGGCCCAAAAGAAGCUUCUCAGCGUGGGACGACCAAUGGAGAAACCGUCCCAUGUGGAACGUUGCCAUCACACUGAGACCUGUACCCAUGUCUGCUCUACUGCAGCAGCUCUCCAGACCCAAACCCACCCAUCCAGACCACCUCAGCAACAGGCCGAGUGCAGCUUCCAUCGUCUCCUCUGCGUCUAAAACAACUAGAACCUCCAGUGGAACCACUCGUCUGUCGCUGCCCAAACUGAAGGAAAACAAAAUCUGUCACGAUCUCGGACGACCUGAGGAGUCCAUCUGGACUAUUUCAAAGGCAGCAAAAAAAGCUUCGUCCAGCGUUCGUGUGGAGAUGCUUUCAGAGCCCAAGCAGCUUUCCAAAGACUACGUUCCACCACGAGAACCAGAGUGGAGCCCAAAAAAACCAUCAAACCUCGAUAGAAAAAGAAUUCUUUUUGCUUGAUGUGGUCACUUGAAUGAAUACGAGUGGAAGCAAUAGAGCUUCCAUGAUUCCAGAGCGAUUAUCGUAUGUUACUGUUGUGUUAUAAUCUCUCUUUAAAAAUACAGUUUUAAACUUGCCUUGUAGUUUUAAGGCCACAUGCAGCCCUUUGACUAAAGUAAACCCACAGAAUGACUGCAAAAACACACAAAAUGAAUCAAAAUACAAAUAAAAUUAGCAAAAGAACAUAGAAAAAUCA
ensembl:lncRNA theg spermatid protein like